ensembl:snoRNA
UCUCUGGACAGUAAUGUUCGGAGGCAGAGGGCAAGGGCACCUCGCCCCUCGGCGUCAUGUCUUCGGUGCCGGCGGCUUGCCAUCCGUCGGUUCUAUCCUCAAGCGCCGGGACACGC